CGAAUGGGGAAACCCACCACUUUAUGUGGUACUUUAAACUGAAUACAUAGGUUUAAAGAGACAACCUGGAGAACUGAAACAUCUAAGUAACCAGAGGAAAAGAAAUCAAUUGAGAUUCCGUUAGUAGUGGCGAGCGAACGCGGACUAGGCCAGUAAUUUUGUUAAAAAAAUUUGAAUAGUUUGGAAAUGCUAACCAUAGAGGGUGAUAGUCCCGUAUGAGUAAUGUUUAACAAAAUUCUUGAGUAAAGCGGGACACGAGAAAUCCUGCUCGAAUAUAGGGGGACCACCCUCUAAGCCUAAAUACUCUU
rnacentral:rRNA from 1 species